UACGGAGGGGGCUAGCGUUGUUCGGAAUUACUGGGCGUAAAGCGCGCGUAGGCGGCUUUGUAAGUUAGAGGUGAAAGCCCGGAGCUCAACUCCGGAACUGCCUUUAAGACUGCAUCGCUAGAAUCAUGGAGAGGUGAGUGGAAUUCCGAGUGUAGAGGUGAAAUUCGUAGAUAUUCGCAAGAACACCAGUGGCGAAGGCGGCUCACUGGUCCGGUACUGACGCUGAGGUGCGAAAGCGUGGGGAGCAAACAGGG
rnacentral:rRNA from 1 species